AACGAACGCUGGCGGCAUGCCUAACACAUGCAAGUCGAACGAGACCUUCGGGUCUAGUGGCGCACGGGUGCGUAACACGUGGGAAUUUGCCUCGGGGUAUGGAAUAACUCAGGGAAACUUGAGCUAAUACCAUAUAAUGUCUUCGGACCAAAGAUUUAUCGCCCUGAGAUAAGCCCGCGUAGGAUUAGCUAGUUGGUGGGUAAAGGCUCACCAAGGCGACGAUCCUUAGCUGGUCUGAGAGGAUGAUCAGCCACACUGGGACUGAGACACGGCCCAGACUCCUACGGGAGGCAGCAGUGGGAAUAUUGGACAAUGGGCGAAAGCCUGAUCCAGCAAUGCCGCGUGAGUGAUGAAGGCC
rnacentral:rRNA from 1 species